CUCUCGGUGCUAUUACUGGCAUUUAUCUACUGGAGAUUCAGAGGAGGCAGAAAUGUGAAAAAGGUGACCAGGGAUGAAGUAGAACUAAAUAGAGAACAAGACAAUCGGGAUGACGUGACGUAUUCUGCUGUAGUCCAUGUUAAAACUGCCGCCACACCAGCUCACAUAGAGAGUGACCCAGCAGAGCACACUGAGUACGCCCCAAUCAAAGUUAAACGCUAAACGUCAAGAAAGAAUAUAGUCAAUUUAAUGGUGAGCAUUUUAAAGAGAUUGAAACAACCAUGUACAUUUUAUUAUUGAGGGUUUUGUGUAACUUCAGUUUAAGAAGAAAACCUGUUUAUUGUUUGGAGGAGCU